GGCUACAUAGCUCAGUCGGUUAGUGCGCAGCAUUCAUAAUGCUGAUGUCCCAGGUUCAAGUCCCGGUGUAGCCACCA
rnacentral:tRNA from 1 species